rnacentral:lncRNA from 10 species
GUGCUCAAUGGUGCCCAGGCUGGAGGGCAGUGGCGUGAUCUCGGCUCGCUACAACCUCCACCUCCCAGACGCCUGCCUUGGCCUCCCAAAGUGCCCAGAGUGCAGCCUCUACCCGGCCGCCACCCCGUCUAGGAAGUGAGGAGCAUCUCUGCCCGGCUGCCCAUCGUCUGAGAUGUGGGGAGCGCCUUUGCCCCGCCGCCCCGUCUGGGAUGUGAGGAGCGUCUCUGCCCGGCCGCGACCCCGUCCGGGAGAGAAUGCGGCAGAGAAAAAGAGGAGAAACUGAAGAAGGGACUAAAUAAGGCAAGGCUGGAUCAGAAAAGAUUGACUCUGAGGACUAAGAGAAACUGAAGCUGGGACCCAGCAGGGUGCUAUUGACCUCCAAGUCCUUUCUCCACAUUCCCCCAUCUGCCCAACUUCCACAGCUCAGGGGUCUUUUCUCCUAGGGUUGAAAUAUGAAUGGCUCUAAAAUUUCCCAGUGAAAACCAUCCAUGAAGUUGUGUGUGGGAAAUGAAAUGCCAGCCCGUGGGUGUCAGCAACUGUGAAGAAAGCGUGGCAUCCACGCUCACCUGGGCUUCCUUUGGUUUGCCUCAUUAAUCAGCUCCCCAGGUCAUCGGCACGUCUCGCCUCAGGCUCACAGGUCUGGUUUUUGUAUAAUACACAUUUCCCCCAGUUUUUAUUUCAUCUGUUUUUUUCAAGCAGCCUUUCCAUUAUUUCUGAACAUUUGAGUUAAAAAAAUGUAAAUUACAGACGCCUGCGGAUUGACGUAAUGUGAAAAGAAGGCGGCUGUUUCCCCUUCCUCCAAACAGGGGACAUGGCUUUUCAAACUAAUAAACCCCU